CCAAUAGCGUAUAUUAAAGUUGUUGCAGUUAAAAAGCUCGUAGUUGAAUUUCGGGAUCAAUGGGUUGGUCAUGCCCUCGGUAUGUACUGAUUUCAUUGGUUCUCACCUUCUAAGGAACCAUGAUGUCAUUCGUUUGAUGUUGUGGGGAAUUAGGACUGUUACCUUGAAAAAAUUAGAGUGUUUAAAGCAGGCUAACGCUUGAAUACAUUAGCAUGGAAUAAUGAAAUAGGACAUCCGAUUCUAUUUUGUUGGUUUCUAGGAUCGAUGUAAUGAUUAAUAGGGAUAGUUGGGGGCAUUAGUAUUCAAUUGUCAGAGGUGAAAUUCUUGGAUUUAUUGAAGACUAACUACUGCGAAAGCAUUUGCCAAGGAUGUUUUCAUUAAUCAAGAACGAAAGUUAGGGGAUCGAAGACGAUCAGAUACCGUCGUAGUCUUAACCAUAAACUAUGCCGACUAGGGAUCGGAUGAUGCUUAUUUUUUAAUGACUCAUUCGGCACCUUACG
rnacentral:rRNA from 1 species